GUUAUAGUAACGAGCAAGCUUAAGGUAUUCAGUACCGGAGGCGCAGCGAAAGCGAGUCUGAAAAGGGCGCAUGAAGUUCGUUGCCAUAGACCCGAAACCGGGUGACCUACGCAUGAGCAGGUUGAAGUGGGGGUGAAACCCCAUGGAGGACCGAACCGACCCCCGUUGCAAUGGUGGCGGAUGACUUGUGUGUAGCGGUGAAAUUCCAAUCGAACUCGGAGAUAGCUGGUUCUCCCCGAAAUAGCUUUAGGGCUAGCGUUGUGUUAGAUUACCGGAGGUAAAGCACUGAAUGGUUUAGGGGCUGAUAAAGUUACCGACGCCUAUCAAACUCUGAAUGCCGGAUAAUUGAUGCACAGCAGUCAGACAGUGUGAGAUAAGUUUCAUUGUCAAAAGGGAAACAGCCCAGACCUACAGCUAAGGUCCCAAAUGUAUGCUAAGUGGAAAACGAUGUGGAAUUGCGAAAACAACCAGGAUGUUGGCUCAGAAGCAGCCACACAUUAAAAGAGUGCGUAAUAGCUCACUGGUCGAGUGACUCUGCGCGGAAAAUGUAACGGGGCUAAGCAUACAACCGAAGCUUAGGAUUGUCAAAAGACAGUGGUAGGGGAGCGUUCUGUACGGGGCGAAGUCGCAGCGGGAGCAGCGGUGGACUGUACAGAAGUGAGAAUGCCGGAAUGAGUAGCGAGAAUUAUGUGGGAAUCAUAAUGGCCGAAAAUCUAAGGUUUCUUGGGGAAGGUUCGUCCGCCCAAGGUAAGUCGGGAGCUAAGCUGAGGCCGAGAGGCGUAGGCGAUGCACAUACGGUAGAAAUUCCGUAACCACCGAACUUUAAGCAUGAGGGACACUUUGAGAUAGCGGGACCCGGGCGUUGGUAGACCCGGGCGAAAGGGACCGAAAUAUAGUAGGGAAGUCCGCGAUGCUCGGAGGCGAGAAAAGCUCAUGUGUAUACUAAGGUGCCCGUACCGCAAACCGACACAGGUAGAUGAGGAGAGAAUCCUAAGGCCAACGGGAGAAGGGUUGUUAAGGAACUCGGCAAGAUGACCCCGUAACUUCGGAAGAAGGGGAGCCUCGAAAGAGGCCGCAGUGAAUAGGCCCAAGCAACUGUUUACCAAAAACACAGGUUUAUGCUAAAUCGAAAGAUGACGUAUAUGAGCUGACGCCUGCCCGGUGCCGGAAGGUUAAGAGGAGAUGUGAGCCGCAAGGUGAAGCAUUGAAUUGAAGCCCCGGUAAACGGCGGCCGUAACUAUAACGGUCCUAAGGUAGCGAAAUUCCUUGUCGGGU
rnacentral:rRNA from 1 species